GACGAACCGUGCGAACGUUAUUCGGAAUCACUGGGCUUAAAGCGCGUGUAGGCGGGACGGCACGUCGGUCGCUGAAAUCCCCCGGCUCAACCGGGGAAGUGGCGCCGAUACGACCGCCCUGGAGGGACGUAGGGGGGGCUGGAACUUCCGGUGGAGCGGUGAAAUGCGUUGAGAUCGGAAGGAACGCCCGUGGCGAAAGCGAGCCCCUGGACGUCUACUGACGCUG
rnacentral:rRNA from 1 species